rnacentral:rRNA from 1 species
UACGGAGGUGGCAAGCGUUGUUCGGAAUUACUGGGCGUAAAGGGCUCGUAGGCGGCCAACUAAGUCCGACGUGAAAUCCCCAGGCUUAACCUGGGAACUGCGUCGGAUACUGGUUGGCUUGAAUCCGGGAGAGGGAUGCGGAAUUCCAGGUGUAGCGGUGAAAUGCGUAGAUAUCUGGAGGAACACCGGUGGCGAAGGCGGCAUCCUGGACCGGCAUUGACGCUGAACAGCGAAAGCCAGGGGAGCAAACGGG